GUCAUUUUAUUAUUGUUUGUAGUAUAAAUAUAAAAGAUGGUUCUUACAGAAUGUUAUUCCUCCAUUGUAAAACAAACACCUACUAGUUUAUUUACUUUGAGAUUAAUAUUUAAUCUCGAAAAUACACCUUAAUAAUUAAAGCAAUCUAAAUCUCAUCAUGUUGCGGUUAUGUCAUCAGAAAAGAUGUUAAAUAUAUAAAUAUCUUUUACCGCAAAAUAAGAAAGCUAGAUUUUACUAAUUUCAUAUUUAUUGUUUUAUAAUUAUUUUUUACUGAUUUUGUCUGUAUAUAAGGUGUAUCUUUCUCAAGAUAGUCAUAGCAGAUUCAGCUGUACAAAAGUCAAGAUGUUUCUCCUAGCUCUGUGCCUCGUUGGAACCGCUUUGGCUGCCCCAGCCAUCCCGGAAGAACCAAUCAUUCCAGCGGAGUCCCAUGUUCUGAUGUCUCCUUACAUGGCUUACUCGUCGCCAAUUCUUCCUCUGAGAACCCUGAUGAUUGAAACGGAACUUAAGGAAGAGAAAACUGAGCCAAAGGAAUUACUUGAAGAGCCCAAAGGACUACCAGAAGCCCCUGAACUCCCUAAACUUGAGGACACUAAGCCGGUUGUGGUCAAACUUGAUACCAGCAAGCCUCUCUCGUAUUUCACCAACUGGAUCAACUCUUUACCUAGCUUCAAUCUCCCGUUCAUAAGCGGUUUCUUCCCUUCCUCGAAUGGUAAAGUUUUGGUGCCAUCAUACUACCCUGGGUACACUCCAUUGAUCGUCGAGCCAGCUAAGCUUUAAAGAUUUCCACCGAUUUAUAAUAAUGUGGUAUAAUAAUUGGAAUAAAAUUGCAGCUUUUACAUGA